rnacentral:lncRNA from 1 species
ACAAGCCUAAACCGUAGCCUACAUCCACCAAUCCACCAACCCUUUCGACCAUCACCUCUCUCAACCAAUACAUGCCUUUAACCCAACAACAAAAGAGGGAUCUUAACAUCACAUAUUUGAAGACAUAUACUAUGGUAUGUAAGGAGGCAAUCAAUGCUAAAUUCGAAGCCUUGGAGGCACGAAUGGAGGAUAAGAUUCGGAUGCUCUUUACCGAACUCAGAUUGGGCCGACCACUAAGCCCGAAGAAAUCACAUCAAGGAGAGAGCUUUGCCCAAUCACACCAAGCCCGAAGAUAUGACUUCCAAGAGAAGGGAAGCUCUAUGACCAACCCCAACUAUCCAUGCACGAGAGUGGACUUCCCUAGAUGGGAAGAAGGAGACCCAAUUGGUUGGAUCUCAC